rnacentral:rRNA from 1 species
UGGGUAACCUGCCUCAAAGAGGGGAAUAGCCUCCCGAAAGGGAGAUUAAUACCGCAUAAUAUGUUUAAGUCGCAUGACUUUAACAUCAAAGGAUUUUCUUUAGAAAUUCCACUUUGAGAUGGACCCGCGGCGCAUUAGCUAGUUGGUGAGGUAACGGCUCACCAAGGCAACGAUGCGUAGCCGACCUGAGAGGGUGAUCGGCCACAUUGGAACUGAGACACGGUCCAGCU